CCAAACUUGGUCAUUUAGAGGAAGUAAAAGUCGUAACAAGGUCUCCGUUGGUGAACCAGCGGAGGGAUCAUUACUGGACUCGCAAGACUCCUACACCCUGUGAACCUUCUGAAAGACACGUUGCCUCGGCGGCGUCCUCGCCUCCUGCCGGGGGCGGGACGCGCCGCCAGCGGCACAACUACCCUGCAUCGCGCGUUGGCAUCUCGAGGACGACGAAGCAAUCAAAACUUUCAACAACGGAUCUCUUGGCUCUGGCAUCGAUGAAGAACGCAGC
rnacentral:misc_RNA from 1 species